rnacentral:rRNA from 1 species
UACAGAGGGUGCAAACGUUGCUCGGAAUCAUUGGGCGUAAAGCGCACGUAGGCGGUCUGUUAAGUCGGGUGUGAAAUCUCGGAGCUUAACUCCGAAACUGCAUUCGAUACUGCCGUGCUUGAGGACUGGAGAGGAGACUGGAAUUUACGGUGUAGCGGUGAAAUGCGUAGAUAUCAGGAGGAACACCGGUGGCGAAGGCGGGUCUCUGGGCCGAUACUGACGCUGAGGAGCGAAAGCGUGGGGAGCGAACAGG